UCUCGUCCUCCGUGAGUGUUGUGCGC
rnacentral:piRNA from 1 species